rnacentral:tRNA from 1 species
UUCUAAUGUGGCAGAAUAGUGCAAUAAAUUUAAGCUUUAUUUAUAAAGUUAAUCUUUCUUUAGAAU